rnacentral:ncRNA from 1 species
GACAAGGGGAUUUUGACUGUUUAAUUAAAACAAAGCAUUGCGAUGGUCCAUGCAGAUGCUGACACACUGUGAUUUAUACCCGGUGCUCUACAUGUGAAAGUGAAGAAAUUUGACCAAGUGUAGGUAAACAACGGGAGUAACUAUGACUCUCUUAAGGUAGUCAUAUGCCUCAUUAUCUAAUUAGAGACAUGCAUGAAUGGAUUAACAAGAUUCCC